GAUGAAGAACGUAGCGAAAUGCGAUACGUAAUGUGAAUUGCAGAAUUCAGUGAAUCAUCGAAUAUUUGAACGCAUAUUGCGCUCUCUGGUAUUCCGGAGAGCAUGCUUGUUUGAGUAUCAGUAAACACCUCAACUCCCAUAUCUUUUUUGAAAUGGGAGUUGGACUUGAGUGAUCCCAACGCUUUUCCUCACCGAAAAGUGGCGGGUUACUUGAAAUGCAGGUGCAGCUGGACUUUUCUCUGAGCUAUAAGCAUAUCUAUUUAGUCUGCCUAAAAAACAGAUUAUUACCUUUGCUGCAGCUAACUUAAAGGAGAUUAGUUCUUGUGCUGACUGAUGCAGGAUUCACAAAGACAGGCUUCGGCCGACUUUGUAAACUCGAUCUCAAAUCAAGUAAGACUACCCGCUGAACUUAAGCAUAUCAAUAAGCGGAGGA
rnacentral:misc_RNA from 1 species